UACGUAGGGUGCGAGCGUUGUCCGGAUUUAUUGGGCGUAAAGAGCUCGUAGGCGGUUUGUCGCGUCGGCCGUGAAAUCUCCACGCUUAACGUGGAGCGUGCGGUCGAUACGGGCAGACUUGGAGUUCGGUAGGGGAGACUGGAAGUUCCUGGAUGUAGCGGUGAAAUGACGCAGAUAUCAGGAGGAACACCGGUGGGCGAAGGCGGGUCUCUGGGCCGAUACUGACG
rnacentral:rRNA from 1 species